GAUGAACGCUGGCGGCGUGCCUAAUACAUGCAAGUCGAGCGAACAGACGAGGAGCUUGCUCCUCUGACGUUAGCGGCGGACGGGUGAGUAACACGUGGAUAACCUACCUAUAAGACUGGGAUAACUUCGGGAAACCGGAGCUAAUACCGGAUAAUAUAUUGAACCGCAUGGUUCAAUAGUGAAAGACGGUUUUGCUGUCACUUAUAGAUGGAUCCGCGCCGCAUUAGCUAGUUGGUAAGGUAACGGCUUACCUAGGCAACGAUGCGUAGCCGACCUGAGAGGGGGAUCGGCCACACUGGAACUGAGACACGGUCCAGACUCCUACGGGAGGCAGCAGUAGGGAAUCUUCCGCAAUGGGCGAAAGCCUGACGGAGCAACGCCGCGUGAGUGAUGAAGGUCUUCGGAUCGUAAAACUCUGUUAUUAGGGAAGAACAAAUGUGUAAGUAACUAUGCACGUCUUGACGGUACCUAAUCAGAAAGCCACGGCUAACUACGUG
rnacentral:rRNA from 1 species